GACAGCCCCCUUGGAAAAAGCUCCGCAGCAGCACAGCGGGGUAGAAACGACCCUCGGGAGGAAGGGGGAGCCCUCCUCCACCCCACUGACCCACGCAGAAGAACGAGCACUCCUCCUCACCUGUGCCAACAGGAAACGGCCGGGGAGAGAGCGAGACAGGGCAGCCCCACUCCGAGCAACUGCGGCGGCAGCAGCGGGCGGGAGGGAGCGGGAGAGAGCGCACGCGAUCACCCCUCCCUUUCCCCCGUCUUCGCGGGCAGCCAAGGGCACACAGCUCCGUUGUCACCGCCGAGCUGGCUGCGAUUGGCUGGUCCCAGCCGCUGGCAGCGCCCAGGUGAGCUCCAAGCAAGGACGCCACUGCGCCUGCUCAGCUCCGGGGCUCACCUGGGCGCUCAGGUAGACGCAGCGCUCUCCUUCCGCUCCUCUAACGGAAGGCAGCAGUCCGCGUGCCCAGGGGAGCUGCAGAACGCGCGCGCCAUCCCCUUGUGCCUCCCCCCCACCCCGCCGCGCUCUGGGCUCUGUUCUUUGCGGGCCUCGUCGCUGUUCCCGCCUCUGCGCGCCCAGGAGGCGCACGCUUGGAAGGCCUUGUUCUGUUCACGCCUCUCUUGCUCUCCAGUUAUUUUCGAGGCCGAGGGGCCUUACUGCACCCCAACCGCACUUUAGGCAUGUUGACACAAUCUCACUGCGGUGGCUAUGCCUUACUCCUAGGAAAACAUGCAACGGGCUAACCACUCGUUUUCGUCCUUUUUUAUGUGCGCAAUAAUCCUGACGGAGUCCCAUCGCUCCACUUGAAGAUGGAAGGGAGCUGAACAUCGAAAUUAUCCCACAGGCUGCUGAGACGCGCGCCAUCCUUUUUCUGUUCGCUUCCAACAGGGCAAAGACACGGGGAACCAUCUGCGACGAAGCUAUGCAAGGCAGAUAAACCGGCUUUUUGCUUGGAGAGGGGGCCAAAACAUAAUAAAAUAGACUCAUGCUUCUGGUCUGCGUCCAGUUACCUUGAAUACGAGGUUGCUAAGAACACGUACUACUUCCCCAGUUUAGACUGAACCAGGUAAAAUUUAGUAAAUCUGGACUAAAAUGAAUAUCUCGUGUCCCCUUAUUCAUAGUGGUUAGGGAGGAAAGCAGCACAAAGCUUGCAAGGGGUAGUUAAUGUUGCAAUGGGCAGUUCUGCAUAGAAAGCAUAUUAAUGACAAAAAAGCUCAAUAAUAUCAGAUUAUAGAAGACAGAUUUCCAGAAGCCAAGUUAAUGUAAGGAUUUUCUGUCCUCAAUGACAGCAUAUUACUCUUAACUAUGCAUUGGGCUACACAAGAAAUUUUACAAGGGACUUCUUAUAUUGCCAAAACUGACAUUUUGGCAGAGCAAGUGCAUCAGAUAAAAGAAGUACAGUAUCAGUUUUGUCAAGAUGAUAAAUGGGCACCUUUUAUUUUGCUUUGAAAUAAAUAUUGUACUUUGGUAAGGUAUUCGGUAACAGUAUUACUCAAUACUAUUUCGGUAGUGAAAUACAUUUUGAUUGCGGUGGGGGGCGGUUAGUGGAGACUUGUCCCUUUGUAAGAAAACAAUGUUUUGUUUUUAAAACCUGUUAUGUAGAAAUAUAGGAUUCUUACUGGAAAUGUCUAGUAACUGCAAAGACUUGCAAAGCAAUAGAAAAUAAGUUCAUUGCAUAUUUUAAAGAGACAUUCUUAAUGGAAAUUGACACAUGAAACUGCACUGAUGAAACUAACAGGAGAACUAAUGAAUCACAUAGAGAGAGGUCCCUUUUGCUUACUGGAGCAGUUACUGUGAAGGCCAUUUAUAGGGUGAUAUCUACUGUUAUGGAUAGCACUCAGCUUUGCUGGGUGUCUGAUUCAGGGGCUGAGCCAACACGGCUGGAGUGGGCCCAGAGACAAAAUUUUAAAAUGGGCCCCUUGCUGAUACACACACACACUUCACAAUAUAUAGUCAUGUUACUUGCCUCUGGGGGGCCCCUCGAGGUGUGGGGGCCCCCAGGCAGCCGCCUCCCCUUGCCUAAUAGUAGUUACGCGCGCCCCUGGUCUGAUCUUAAAUUGACAGCAGGGCCUGAGCAGAGGCAUUUUAGCCCAAGAAAAACCAUUUUGUGCACUCUUGCUGUGAAAGACUUUUUUUGCUGAGAACACCAAAAACACCUGCUGUUGUGGAGCUCUUGAGCCUUGGCCUCUCUCCUCCCAGUCAAAGCAAGGCUGAGCUUGGAGCAUGACAAUGCUUGUUUUGAAUUGGGAGGGGGGAAAGUGCUCAUGAAACAGCUUAUCAGAGGCCUGAACAGUGCUCUCAAGACAAAGGAGAAGGAACUGGAGUGAUUGUCAGAGGGAUUCUAUCUUGGAAGGUUAUUUUUGUGCAAGCUGUUCCUGUACUUUAGGAGAGAGAGGUUUUCGUACUUGCUACGGUCUUUGGAACGGAGUACCUCUAUGCAUACUACAUGUUACAAAGGGCAAGAGAGAAGCAUCACUAUUUCAUGUUGCUAUUGCCAUAGGAUGCUAACAUUUCCAGUGUGACUGAACAAGGCAAUAGAAAAUGCAGACUCACUCCCCCGGCCUCCUCCUUCAACAGCAGAGUGGAAGGAGGAAAAAAGGAGAAUAAGAGAUUGGGAUAGACUGGAUUCGUGGUACCAUCCAACAGUAAAGAUAAGUACGAAAUGGAGAAAGAUAAAAGGAUGAAGAGAAAAUUGUUCUGCCAUGAGCCAGUGCAGGACUGAAAGAACUGGGUGGAUUCAUCCUCCCCAGGCUCUUAAAGCUCUUGUUUAAUUUGCAUAGUGCUGCCUUGAGCCAUGUGGAGAAGAUAACCCACUGAGAUAUCCUCGGAGGCAACUGCAGAGAAAGUAUGUUUUUUUGCUCCAGAAUUAUUGUUUUUAAUAACCGAGCAAAGAGGCAACUUUUAAAAGUGAAGUUAUUUAGCAGGGCGAGAGCAUCUGGCCUGAUCCAUCCCUAGCACAGCAUCCCUCCAGUGGCUGUUGCUAGGGUCUAUCUUAUGUUUCUUUUUUUAGAUUGUGAGCCUUUGGGACAGGGAGCCAUUUUUACUUAUUUAAUUUUAUCUAUGUAAACCACUUUGGGAACUUUUAUUGAAAAGUGGUAUAUAAAUAUUUGUUGUUCUAUUUGUUUUUACACCUAUACAAGUUUAUGCAGAUUUAACGGACUGAUGGAAGAUUUCUUUGAAAGCAUACAUCAGACCGGCUACUUUAGACAAGAAUCUUCAAAUAAAUGAAAUUCUAUUUUCUUAAUUGGGACAUUUUCAGUUUAAAAUAUCCAGCUGAAUGCAAGUGUCCCCCAUAGGGAUAAAACAAGAAUUUGAAAAACUAAACUAAAUAUGAAAUUUUUGUUGACCUCUUUGUCAGGUGCACUCUAAGAACUUAUUUCCCAUUACUACAGAUGUAUGUACAUUUGGCAAACAUUCUUCUCCAUCUGGAACACGAUAGGGAACAAAAUGGCAUAAAUAGCUAAGCAGGAACCUACCUAUUGUUGGAUUUGUUUGGU